UUUUUCUUUAUUUUUCUUUUCUUUUUGAGCAGUGUACAGCUACUACCUCAAGUUCUCCCCAGAGGAAAGAACCAGCCUAAGCAGAGAAUCCCAGACCUCCCUCCAGCCACCUCCUCCAGCUUAUCCAGGAGAACAAGAUCUUCCCAGGCCAGACUUGAAGGACAACCCUACAGUACAGAAUGCCGGCAGGACAAGGGGCUUCUUCCAGGAUAAUGACAUCACUCUUUUGGACCAACCAACUGAGAACCUACAAAAAUGGACAACAGUUUCAGACAGUAGAUGCCCGUUGUGCAGCCGUCUUCACCACUUGGAGAAAUGUUCCCACUCACCUCAUGGAAACUCUUGCAUGCUGCAACAAAUU